UGUAAAGCAACAGUUAGGAUCAGACUCGCUUUGUUCAAACAGCACAGCUACGUUUUGCAUAUCAAAGCAAAAUAAUAAACAUGCUACACUUAACCGUACAAGGGGAUCAUCUUAUUUGACUUAAGCAAAAUAACUUCUAACUGCCCUUUUCACUUUCUGUUUAAAGCCUGGCCUAACUCGGCUGGACCUGACUGCUUGUCUGUAUCUCUGGCUCCGUUUCUAGUCGCUGUUCACAGACAGAAAGAAACUUCAACACACAAUGGCCCACAAAUUGUGCAGUACUCCUCCUGCAAGUGGACAGUGGGCACAGAAGGGUCCAAUAUGAGCGUGCAGAGUGCACCCGCUCACUCAGUGCCAGGUCACUGAACAACUGCAGAAGUUCAAUUCGGCUGUGGAAUAUUUUAUUAAAUGUGACUCAAAAGCUUGUAUCAAAGAAGUGUCUUGGUGUCUUCAUUUUGCUUCACCUCGAAAGCUGUGGGAAUUAAAAUUCUGCCCAAAGUCAAUGGACUUUUGGCUGCCUCUCCGAAUUUUCCAUCCCGCCUGUGAUGAUUCCUGCCGCAGGCAGGACCAGGAAUUCCGGGCCACAUGUCUUAGCAAAAUAAACCCACCUGUACGUGAAUAGCGAUUGAGUGGCUUGAUACAAUGAAUUUAACCCUAGCAUGUAAUAUCAUGGCUGCAAUACUACUUCAGGAUACCACAAACAUUCGUAGUAACAGGGUCAGUAACUGGAGCACUCUGAAUUAAUUAAUGAGGAAAAAGAUUUUGUU